CAGGCUUAACACAUGCAAGUCGAGGGGCAGCAUGGUCUUAGCUUGCUAAGGCCGAUGGCGACCGGCGCACGGGUGAGUAACACGUAUCCAACCUGCCGUCUACUCUUGGACAGCCUUCUGAAAGGAGGAUUAAUACAAGAUGGCAUCAUGAGUCCGCAUGUUCACAUGAUUAAAGGUAUUCCGGUAGACGAUGGGGAUGCGUUCCAUUAGAUAGUAGGCGGGGUAACGGCCCACCUAGUCUUCGAUGGAUAGGGGUUCUGAGAGGAAGGUCCCCCACGUUGGAACUGAGACACGGUCCAAACUCCUACGGGAGGCAGCAGUGAGGAAUAUUGGUCAAUGGGCGAGAGCCUGAACCAGCCAAGUAGCGUGAAGGAUGACUGCCCUAUGGGUUGUAAACUUCUUUUAUAAAGGAAUAAAGUCGGGUAUGGAUACCCGUUUGCAUGUACUUUAUGAAUAAGGAUCGGCUAACUCCGUGCCAGCAGCCGCGGUAAUACGGAGGAUCCGAGCGUUAUCCGGAUUUAUUGGGUUUAAAGGGAGCGUAGAUGGAUGUUUAAGUCAGUUGUGAAAGUUUGCGGCUCAACCGUAAAAUUGCAGUUGAUACUGGAUAUCUUGAGUGCAGUUGAGGCAGGCGGAAUUCGUGGUGUAGCGGUGAAAUGCUUAGAUAUCACGAAGACUCCGAUUGCGAAGGCAGCCUGCUAAGCUGCAACUGA
rnacentral:rRNA from 1 species